AGAAAUCCCUUGACUGAUGCUACUUUCUUUUCGUGGCAUUUCUCCAUCAGGCUGAUUCAUAUUGAAAAUUGAUGAGGCAUGUUGUCUCAUGUGGAUGCUUGGGUUAUUUUUUGUUAUAGCGAUUAGUUGUGUGAGUCCUAUUUUAUUUUUCUUAUUAAGUCAUAUGGAUUGCUGACUAAUUGUGUUAUGACCGGCGUGACUUAUAGCCGGAGGAGGUCCAAUGGGCCCGUUUAGUUAAGGGCUUAGCCCAAGUUAUCUUAGUUAAGUUAGGGGCUCAGCCCAAGUUUCCUUAUUUAUAUUACCUUAGAGCUUAUAUAAACAAGUUGUAAGACACCUUUUGGAA
rnacentral:lncRNA from 1 species